CCUGGCUCAGGAUGAACGCUGGCGGCGUGCUUAACACAUGCAAGUCGAACGGAGUAUCUCUCCCGAGAUCAAAGAAGCUUGCUUCUGCGAAAUCAAUUGAGAUACUAGUGGCGGACGGGUGAGUAACGCGUGGGUAACCUGCCUCACACAGGGGGAUAACAGUUGGAAACGACUGUUAAUACCGCAUAAGCGCACGGUACCGCAUGGUACAGUGUGAAAAAACUCCGGUGGUGUGAGAUGGACCCGCGUCUGAUUAGCUAGUUGGUGAGGUAACGGCCCACCAAGGCGACGAUCAGUAGCCGGCCUGAGAGGGUAAACGGCCACAUUGGGACUGAGACACGGCCCAAACUCCUACGGGAGGCAGCAGUGGGGAAUAUUGCACAAUGGGGGAAACCCUGAUGCAGCGAACCGCCGCGUGAGCGAUGAAGUAUUUCGGUAUGUAAAGCUCUAUCAGCAGGGAAGAUAAUGACGGUACCUGACUAAGAAGCACCGGCUAAAUACGUGCCAGCCGCGGC
rnacentral:rRNA from 1 species